rnacentral:rRNA from 1 species
GGACUACAGGGGUUUCUAAUCCUUAUUGCUACCCAAGCCUUCGUCCCUCAACGUCAGUUUUUAGAUAGAAGGCAACCUUCGCCUUUACCAGUCCUUUUAGUAUCAACAAAUUUUAUCUUUACUCUAAAAGUUCUCCCCUUCUCUUAUAAAACUCUAGUAAAAAAGUACCCUUUAGGGGUUUAAUUUACCGUCUAGGUACCCUUUAAACCUAAUAAAGAUGACUAACACUAGUCUUUUACGUAUUACCGCGGCUGCUGGCAC